AAGACAUUUGCCCUGGGCAUUAGGGGGCAGCUUUUUUUGCCAACCCCUGGAAAAUGCCGCCCAAGGCAAAUGCCUUGUUUGCCUCGCGGCUAAAACGUCCCUGAUGCUUGCACUGUGUUUGCUUUUAACGUGUCUCUGGUGUCUCCAUAAGUGGGAUACCAGAGGACAAAAGGGCCAGGAAAGCGUAUGGUGCAUGUGUUUGGAGCCUGCUUGUGGGAUUGCGAGUGUGUAGAGUGUAGUGUGGUAUUGUGUAUAUAGGUUGAUUUAAUUUGUGUCAUUCCGGCAUCACUACGCGGUGCGCGAGGGAGCUGAACAUGAGGAUUAGUGCUCCCUCGCCGACUGCAGUCACCGGCCGCCCAGCAGCCCCACUGGACCCCAGGGAAAGUGAU